rnacentral:rRNA from 1 species
GGUGGUGCAUGGCCGUUCUUAGUUGGUGGGUUGCCUUGUCAGGUUGAUUCCGGUAACGAACGAGACCUCAGCCUGCUAAAUAGUCACGGCUACUUUUUUGUAGCCGUCCGACUUCUUAGAGGGACUAUUGUCGUUUAGGCAAUGGAAGUGUGAGGCAAUAACAGGUCUGUGAUGCCCUUAGUUGCAUUCAACGAGCCUAUCCUUGACCGAGAGGUCCGGGUAAUCUUUGAAACUGCAACGUGAUGGGGAUAGAUUAUUGCAAUUAUUAGUCUUCAACGAGGAAUGCCUAGUAAGCGCGAGUCAUCAGCUCGCGUUGACUACGUCCCUGCCCUUUGUACACACCGCCCGUCGCU